rnacentral:rRNA from 1 species
CGGGGUGCAGCAGGCGCGAAAACUUUGCAAUGCGGGAAACCGUGACAAGGGAACUCUGAGUGCCCGUAAAAUCGGGCUGUCCAUCGGUUUAAAUAACCGGUGAAGAAAGGGCCGGGCAAGACCGGUGCCAGCCGCCGCGGUAAUACCGGCGGCUCGAGUGGUGGCCACUAUUACUGGGCUUAAAGCGUUCGUAGCUGUUUGUUAAGUCUCUGGGGAAAUCUUCCGGCUUAACCGGAAGGCGUCUCAGGGAUACUGGCAGACUAGGGACCGGGAGAGGUGAGAGGUACUCCAGGGGUAGGAGUGAAAUCCUGUAAUCCUUGGGGGACCACCUGUGGCGAAGGCGUCUCACCAGAACGGCUCCGACAGUGAGGGACGAAAGCUGGGGGAGCAAACCGGAUUAGAUACCCGGGUAGUCCCAGCUGUAAACGAUGCGCGUUAGGUGUAUCAGUGACCACGAGUCACUGAGGUGCCGAAGAGAAAUCGUGAAACGUGCCGCCUGGGAAGUACGGUCGCAAGGCUGAAACUUAAAGGAAUUGGCGGGGGAGCAC